rnacentral:ncRNA from 1 species
GUGGGUAAGGGUAAUACCGAACUCCCACUUUAUGACCGAAUAAACUAAACUCAGAGAGUUAAGGUAAUGGCACAGAGGUUGUACUCACUUUGACGAUGACUAACCAUCAUUGAGGAGAACUUUCGUAACUGAAAGGUGUUAGGUACAAGGGAGAAAAAAUCUGAGCUUGAAGUUGUAGGUAAUCGUUAAUCCUACAUCCC